GAAAUGCGAUAAGUAAUGUGAAUUGCAGAAUUCAGUGAAUCAUCGAAUCUUUGAACGCACAUUGCGCCCGCCAGUAUUCUGGCGGGCAUGCCUGUCCGAGCGUCAUUUCAACCAUCAAGCACCCGGGCUUGUGUUGGGGACCUGCGGCUGCCCGCAGGCCCUGAAAACCAGUGGCGGGCUCGCUGUCACACCGAGCGUAGUAGCAAUCACCUCGCUCAGGGCGUGCUGCGGGUUCCGGCCGUUAAACAGCCUUACAAAACCCAAGGUUGACCUCGGAUCAGGUAGGAAGACCCGCUGAACUUAAGC
rnacentral:misc_RNA from 1 species